rnacentral:rRNA from 1 species
UACGUAGGGUGCGAGCGUUAAUCGGAAUUACUGGGCGUAAAGUGUGCGCAGGCGGCCAUGCAAGUCGCGUGUGAAAGCCCCGGGCUUAACUUGGGAAUUGCGCUCGAAACUACGUGGCUGGAGUGUGGCAGAGGAAGGUGGAAUUCCACGUGUAGCGGUGAAAUGCGUAGAGAUGUGGAGGAACACCAAUGGCGAAGGCAGCCUUCUGGGCCAACACUGACGCUCAUGCACGAAAGCGUGGGGAGCAAACAGG